UACGUAGGGUGCAAGCGUUAAUCGGAAUUACUGGGCGUAAAGCGUGCGCAGGCGGUUUUGUAAGUCUGAUGUGAAAUCCCCGGGCUCAACCUGGGAAUUGCAUUGGAGACUGCAAGGCUAGAAUCUGGCAGAGGGGGGUAGAAUUCCACGUGUAGCAGUGAAAUGCGUAGAGAUGUGGAGGAACACCGAUGGCGAAGGCAGCCCCCUGGGUCAAGAUUGAAGCUCAUGCACGAAAGCGUGGGGAGCAAACAGG
rnacentral:rRNA from 1 species